UACGGAGGAUGCAAGCGUUAUCCGGAUUUAUUAGGUUUAAAGGGUGCGUAGGCGGCCCGAUAAGUCAGUGGUGAAAUCCCGUAGCUCAACUACGGAACUGCCAUUGAUACUGUCAGGCUUGAGUACAGUUGAGGUAGGCGGAAUGUGUAAUGUAGCGGUGAAAUGCUUAGAUAUUACACAGAACACCGAUUGCGUAGGCAGCUUACUAGACUGGAACUGACGCUGAGGCACGAAAGCGUGGGUAUCGAACAGG
rnacentral:rRNA from 1 species